AAGUAUUCAAAAUCAGAAACAAUUUGCUUUCAGUUAACACGAACAAACAUCUCAGUUACGGCAUGCUGUAUACGUGGAGGAUUAUGAAGAAGCUUCUAGGCUUCAGGUGGCGAUUGCAGCUGCAUCUAACAAUGACAGUGUUGGAAAAGUGAUAUCUCUUCUCAAAAGAGCCAUAAAAGAAGAGCGGUACCAUGAUGCAGCUUUUA